CGCCUCUCCUCUCCAGUCCUCACCUCAGAGCUCAGACCAUGGAUCUCGUGGCGCCGGCGGCCGCACGCCCGCUGCACCGGAUCUGAAGCUUCUCCUCCCCCUCUUCCUCACCCCGGUCAGAUCUUCUUCGUCUCGUGUUCCUCCCCGCGCCGCCGGCCGCUGGUCCCCGACCUCAUCCCACCAUGGAUUUGACACCCCCGUGCUCUUCUUCUCUUCAGGCAGGUGAGCCCCGUCCCUCCCAAAUUGGUCCCUCCUCCUCUGGUCAAGUUCUGCCUCUGCUACUGUGUAGUGUAGUGUUGACUGCUAGUGUUGUUGCUUGCUAGCCUGCUGCUUGAUUUCGUUGCUGGCUUGCUGCUGCUAGAUGAUGUUGUUACGUGCUGCUGUUGGCUUGCUACUGCUGGUGGCUUGGUGCUAUUAGCUGCUGCUUGUUGUUAGCUGCUAGCGUGCUACUACUAGCUAGCUACUACUGCUUGUGUUACUAGUUGUUGCUGCUGCUACUUGCUGAUACUACUAGCUACUGCUGCUGCCUACUGGUGCUACAAAUAUCUUCGUAACUGAACUGACCAUAAUCAUUAGGUGUAUAGAGGAUUUUAUGGUUUCUAUUUUAUAAAUAAUGAAUGUAACAACACUAGCGAUCUUUCAAUUUUGUCGAGUAAAUCACGUAAGAUAGAAGUGUGCCUAUUUGUAUCACAUAUUGGAGUGAAGUGCUGUCACUACCAAGUAUCAAAUGUAGCUUAGGUUCAGAUAAGCUUUUCCCAAAAUUAAAAUACUACCAAGGGAUCACUCCUUGGCAUUUAUUUUGUAUUUUUUAUUUAUAACACAUCUCAUGCCUUGCAGGAUCGACUUCCUUCUCAAUAGUGAAAUUUCUUCUGUUGUUCAAGUGAGAGAAACAUGCAGGUAUCUUAAUGAUCCACUAAAUUAUUUUCGGUAAAAGUUUGCUUCACAUCCAUUGUGUAAUAUGAAGAGAAAUCAUGGUGCUUUUCCUUUCGUCGUGUACAAAAUUGUUUCCUGUCCAUUACUUAAUUUGUAGAUGAAUAAUAGGGUACUUAUUAUUUGCGUGCAUGGAUUUCAUUCAAAUAGAAUUUUCAAAGACAAAUUAAAUGCCAUACCUUACUAAACUCAGAUUAGCGCAUCCAGCAGAGAAAAGUUGUGUACUUAUUCCUAACAGUACCAAAUAAUUUAAAUUCUGAAUGGUUUUCGUCAGCAACUAUUGUGAGUUGUCUUUGCAAUUCCACAUAGUAAUUAGUUAUAAUGUCAUACCUUGCACCAUUUUCAGAAAUCAACAGUUUACCCUUCCUGGUGCUUUAUCCCUUGGAAGAAAUCUUUAUGGUGCUUCCGUGCUCUCCUAAAAGCCAGUUUAAACAGACUUAAAGAGUAGUGUUAUCAACGGAUAGUAAGAGAGCACCCUCAUCUUGCUUUCAACCACUUGCUUCUGGGCUUCACUUAUAUUUUUAUGUACUGAACAAUCUCCGCAAAGUUCGCAUUCUCCUACUGAAUUAAUAGUGCCAAGUCAUAAGUCUGCAGCUAAAUUUCAGGGAGAAGAAAUUAUCAAAAGACAACAUAGGAUAAAUGUUACAUAUUCGUAGAUUAUUAAUAUUAUUAGAAAUGCACUGCCUGCAUACUAUUUGGUGCAUUUUGGUACUCAUGUGUCUAUUUCCUUCACAGCAAAAUAAACAUGACCAAUUUACCGCAUUUUUUUACUGGCCAUGGGUUCUGAAAAUAAAUAUCUGAAAAUUAAGAUAAACAUGACUCUUUAGAAAUAAGGCUAGGAUACCUGAUGUUAAAAUAGAGACCGUGCCAAUGAGUAAUUCAUCAACGUUUUGUAGCUAGCAUUCCUAUUGUUCUAGAGAAGCUGCUUAUGCUUCUUAGAGUAAGGGGCCAUACCAUAAUUAGUACAAUUGCUUCCAAGCUCUUGGUGACAUAUUUUUCCUUCCAUUCCAUUUGCAACAUGUAAGCCAUGAUUUCUUGUUUUUAGAGUCCUUCUCAGGGAGGAGUUCGAGGACAGUCUUGAAAAUCCAGAUCCGGUACCUUUGGCGUUGUUGACGACAGACCAAGCUAACCUUGCGGUUCAGGCGGACUCGAAUGUUGGAUCUGGAUGCGGGUAGCAAAUUGGCGGCGGUGGUACUGAGAGGGCGAACUGCAGCGAGCGGUGUCGUCGAGGGGCUUCGCCGACAGCAUCCGCAGUUAACGUACAGGGUCAACCCUCAUGCCCCUGGUUGGUCUAAGAGGUAUGACAUCUGAAUCUGUUGCGUCAACUAGCUGUACAAUUUUUCAGAAAUGGUUCAUGCUGAUUUGCUAGGCACUCCUUACAAUGUUGUAGUCGUGUAGUGCGCCCAGGAUUUUGCUGUUUGCUAUGCACUAUCUCGCUCUGAACCCGUGUACUGCUCUUCCCCUUCCGCAUUUGACAACCUGUAGUCCUUACUUGCGGUUGGCCAGGUAGUUGUUUGUUGAUUUAGGUUCGCCGCCGCCAUUGAUUCCUGCCACCAUUGAUUCCUGCGUCUUUUCUCAGGUCUCCCCAUCAUCAGGAGUUGAAAAAACAGCCUGGAACAUCCAGAUCCAGUGCCCCUAGUCCUGUUGCCACUGCACAAGGCGAAGCCGACGAGUGCUGGAGGAUUUGAACUGCGUGUCUGGCUAUGUGCAAGAGGUCAGUGGCCGCAGCCAGUGAAGAGCAGGAGGUGAGGUCCGUCGAAGGAAGAAUGCUUCCCCGGCUCAGUCCGCACAAUCCACAUUAAAGGUUAACCCGGAGGCACCAUGAUGGACUAAAAGGUGAUUUUCUCACUUUUUUCGUCUGAACCGCCAUGACGUUAUGAUACAGUAGAUUGCAGCUAAGCAGACAUGGUACUAUUUUACAAAUUGCUUCAGAUAAUGGCAUCCUGUAGGGUGCUAUUUUUGCUUAUAUCCCUGCAGAUCCAGCAGUUGUUGGCAUAGCAAAUGUAUAUGUGUGUGCAUGUGGCAACUGAUUCGAUUCGCAACAGUAAGUCAGGAACCACCUGAGCGGCUUGGUUGGCUUGCUGAACACCGGCUAGCGCCUGUGCCCGGCGGUCUGAACCGAAGUGAGCCUACGAACAUACAAAUCCUGGAACUUGGAGAAAGGGCAUCCACGUGACUGGUGGAACAAGAAAGCCAAAUCAGAAAUCUGUGGGGGAGAUCAACAUGACUUGAAAUAAAUUAGUAGAAAAUGUAUCCAGGCUUCUCCCCGCUUCCGAGCUAUAUUUUUCACCAGCUCAUGGCCACCGAAAAGGCAUGAUGUGAAAGGAAGAAGACCUGAGUAGGGACAUCAGUGGUUGUUUGGAUUAGGAGAAUUUAAGUUGGGUCGUUAGAAAACCAGUUUUAGGAGAAAUUUUAGGAAAACUAGUUUUAGUUGUUUUUUUGUUACGCAAUUCUUUGUUUGGAUCAAGAAACCACUUUGACAAAACUCUGUUUGGGUUAAAUCCUUCGAAGAACCACUUUAUUAGACGCCUGACCCUCGCUCCAUUGUAUGGGCAUCGGCAUGGUUCUGUCUGCCGUGGUCAUGCUCAGUGCCGAGAGCUGUACAUCGCCGCUAGCGGCGCCUCCAUGUCCGUGGAGCAUCGUGUCACUGCUAUUGGUGUUCUAGCUAGUGCCACAAGCUGCGGCGUUGUGCCUCUCGGAAGGCGUUCAAUCAGCUGAGCCAGAUGGCGUUCCGAUACAAAUUGUUCAUGUAGAACAUGCCCAGCAUUGCCAGCUCGCUACUGUUCUGUGGCCAGGCGCUAUCAAAACUACCAAAGCAGGCUCCUGUGCACUUGAGGAGGGUCAGGUGGACCAAACUGGCUUGGUUUACUUGUAUUUUGGUUUCGAACAAAAAAACUCUGAAUAUAUAGCUUCUUUGACACAUAUAUUGACAGUGGUGUCAUGGAGACAUGUUGGAAGAAAUGAUACAUGUCCCUCUGUUAAUGAUAUGGUUGUAAAUUACUGCAUGUGAUUUCUAAUUUUAGAAUGUUGAGUAGACUAUUGUUGUAGAUCAAUAAAUUUUAUGAAACUUACGUUUGGUAGUGUUUUUGAAUCGGCAUGCCUGAUCAGGUUUUCUGAAUUUGGUUAUGUGGUGACAACACGUGUCCCUUUGUUAUGAGUGUACCCGUGGUGUGCAGCUUGUUGGGGUGCGCCAUGUGCUUUCCUUGUGUAAUUUUCUUAAGAUUUUCGCCUUAAGAUAACUUAAUUGCAUUGCUCGUGUCUCAGGUCCAUAAUUUGUAUUUUCUUCCAAUUCUUCUAACUUUCUUCUUUCCCAUUUUACAGAUUUGCUUAAGAUCACGUAAGCUUGGGUUGGUGGAGUGCUUGUAUUUAGUUUUUGUUUUGACCUUGUGAAACUUGCUACCUAUGGAUGAAACUGUGUAAUAUUGAUGAAACUAUGUAUAUGUAUGGAUGAAACUUGCUACUAUUGUUAACAUGUGUUGGAUAUAUAUGUGUCCAUGACUAUUGGUAAUAUGUGUUGAAUACGCUAUAUUGGUCAUAUAAAUAUAUUUGUGUUUGAUUUUCUGUGAAAAUGAAUUGAUAUAAGAAAAAACAAAAUUAAAUGG
rnacentral:lncRNA from 1 species